GACGAACGCUGGCGGCGUGCCUAAUACAUGCAAGUCGAGCGAACGGAGGAGAGCUUGCUCUCCGAAGUUAGCGGCGGACGGGUGAGUAACACGUGGGCAACCUGCCUAUAAGACUGGGAUAACUUCGGGAAACCGGAGCUAAUACCGGAUAGAUUCUUUCCUCUCAUGAGGAAGGAAGGAAAGAUGGUUUCGGCUAUCACUUAUAGAUGGGCCCGCGGCGCAUUAGCUAGUUGGUAAGGUAACGGCUUACCAAGGCGACGAUGCGUAGCCGACCUGAGAGGGUGAUCGGCCACACUGGGACUGAGACACGGCCCAGACUCCUACGGGAGGCAGCAGUAGGGAAUCUUCCGCAAUGGACGAAAGUCUGACGGAGCAACGCCGCGUGAACGAUGAAGGCCUUCGGGUCGUAAAGUUCUGUUGUUAGGGAAGAACAAGUAUGAGAGUAACUGCUCGUACCUUGACGGUACCUAACCAGAAAGCCACGACUAACUACGUGCCAGCAGCCGCCGUAACAC
rnacentral:rRNA from 1 species